rnacentral:lncRNA from 1 species
AGGAAUCCAUUUUAAGAUAUGAUAACUUUGUUAGAGAACAUCAAAAUUUUGAUUUAAGCUAUAAAGAGUUUAUUGAUUUAGUUAAAUGUCUGUCAGAAGAACUAAAACAACAUAGUGAAAUUGUUGGUGAUUUAGGGCUUUUACAAGUAUAUAUAAUAACUAUAUAAUUACUAAUUUUCUUUCUGAAAUUAUUUAAUUUAAUUAUUUAUAUAUAAAGGCAAGACAAAAGAAACUAUUGGCAAUAUCUGACUCAAAAUGUCAACAAAGUGUACAAUAUGAGUCUCUUGCAAAUAUGGCAGAAAAACUAUACGUCCAAACUUCUCCAGAUGGAAGAGAAAUCAUACGACAACAAAUGAAGUAUGUAUAAAUUAAUUUUAUAUAUAAAUGGUCUAUGAUAUUAAUUUAUUUAAAUUUAAGGGAUUUGAGAAUUUCAUGGGAGUUAGUUUCUGAAAGUUUACAAUCAAGUCUUGAAAAACUAGAAAAUUGCUUAUUGCAGUUUGCAGAGUUUUCACUAUCACAAGAACAAUUAACUAAGUGGCUCAAAAAUAUUGAGCAAGCUAUGCAACAACACACUGAAACAAAAGCCACUUUACAAGAGAAAAAAGCUCAACUUCAGGUACUUGCAUUGUAAAAUCUGCCUAAAAAGAUUAUUUUAUAGUAUAUUAUUAUUUUUAAUCAUAUUUAUUUGGAAAUUAGAACCACGUUGUAAUAAAUCAAGAAAUAUUGUCUCAUCAAACACUUGUACAAUCAGUAUGCGAUAAGGCUCAAGAACUUGUAAAUCAAACUAGGGAUAAUACUUUAAAUACAUAUUUAGAAUCAAUUAAAUACCUAUAUGAAAAAAUUGUUACGAAAUCUAAGGUGAUUUUUUAUUAUAAAUUACAGAUAUUUAGUAAAUUCAAAUUAAAUAAUUUUGUGAUUAACUAGGAGCUAAUGGACUCAUUAGAGCUUUCAGUUCAAAAUCAUUCAGAAUUUAAUCUUGUUUGUCAAAAACUUAGGCUGAUGAUAAAAGAACAACGUGAUAAAAUAAGAGAUAGUGACAACAUUGCUGUUGAAAAAGACAUAAUUGUCAAAAAAAUUAAUAUUUUUAAAGUAAAUAUAUACUGGAAUAUAAAUAAUUUGUGUUCAUAAUUUGAAUAUUAUAAUCCUGUUGUAGGAAAUGAAAACAUCAAAUAUAACAGAAAAUGAUUUACAAAAUCAUCUUGAACAAAUAUUUCAGUUAGUAAGCAAAUCAACUACAAAAAAAGGAAUUAAUGUUAUGAAAAAAGAAAUAUCAAAAAUAGAUAGUGAUAAGUCACAAUUAAUAGUACAACUUGGUAAAUAAUAUUAAAAUUUACUUUUUAUAAUCACCCACACAUAAUAGCUAAAAACAAUUUUUUCACUUAUAGUUAGUGAAUCUUUUAAAAGAUUUAAUCUCAAAAGGCCUGUAAAAAAAACUUACUUAAUUCUUGUAUCCCAUUUAAGAUUUAUUUAUUAUAAAUUUAACUUAUUGAUAUUGAAUUAAUAUAUAUAUUAUUAAAUGUUUAUUAAAUCUCUAAUUAGAUUAGCUUAUAAUUGUUAUUAAUGUAUAAGAUAAGUUUAUAAUAAUAAACUUUGGUUUCAGAUACUAUUAUUGAAAAAAUGGAGGAUAUUUUGGUGCAAUGGACUGAUUUUGAAAAUGAAUUUGAGGAAAUAACAAGUUGGUUCAGAUCAACAGAAUUGCUUAUUAAAGAUCAACAACUACAAGCAACAUUUGAAACCAAGGAAAAUAAAUUCAAACAUUUUACGGAAAAACGAAAUGAAGUAUUACAAUAUGAACCAAAAAUUGAGAAAUUUAUCGAUAAUUCUAAUAAUUUGUUACACACAAGUGGAGUAGAACGUCUAAAACCACUUAUACUUCAAGUAGGAAACCGGUAAGAAAAACAUAAUUAGUUUAAAAAAAAAUGUUUGUAUUAUAAAUUUGUUUAUUGUAAUAUCAAUAAUUAUUUAUGUGUACCAGGUAUCAAUUACUUCUAGUUUUAAGUAAAGAAAUAGUGGCUAAAUGGCAAAACAUUUCUGAUGACCAUAAGAACUUUAAUGAUAAGUUGGCUGAAUUCAAAUUAUGGUUAGAAAUAUUAGAAAAUAAACCUGAUCCAAUUUUGAAUGAUGAUAAUUUAGAUUUAAAUAAAAAAUUAUCACAAUUACAAAGUUUGUAUAGUAGUUCUGAUCAAACAUCAUCAAAAAUUUCAUUUUUAACUUCUUUGGGUGAGAGUUUAUACCCUGAUACAUCUGCUACAGGACGAGAAAUCAUUAGGCAACAACUUACAGAAAUUCGUGAAAGGUAUCUUAAAUAUUUUUAUAUUGUUAAUUUAGAAACAUUUCUACAAAAAAUGUUUAUUGUAACUGAUUUAUUUAUUAUUAACAGAUGGGAUACAUGGGAUGAAAAAAUUAAAACUGCUCAAAAAUCUCUAGGAGUACAAUCCCAACAAUGGAAUAGUUAUCAAGAAACCCUUUUACAAACUAUAAAUUGGUUGGAAAGUGUAGAAAAAGCCAUUGCCUCUAAUCAAACAUCUAUAUGGUCUUCUCUACAAGAAAUAAGAUCAAAACUUUUAAAGCAAAAAGUAAAUAUACAAAAUAAAAUAAAAUAAAAUGCUACUAAUCAAUAUCAAUUAUAUUAUAGGUAAAUAAUUCAUUUUUUUUUUUUUAGGCCACAAUGCAAGAAAUAAACUCUCAUAGUCGGAUGAUUGAAACAAUAUUGGAGAAAGGAAAAACAAUUAAGAAACCUAAAGAUGAAAAUAAUUCAGAAAUAUCAUUGAAGGAUAGAUAUGAUUUAUUACGUGAAAAAAUGAAUAAUUCUAUUUCACAAUUAGAGAAUUACUUAGAAACCUAUCAGCAAUAUCAAGACUUACUUAAAUCAUAUCAAGAUACUCAAAAACAGCUUUGGGAUCAACUUUCAAUAUAUACAGGUUUAUAAAUCAUAAUGUUAUUAUCAUUCUAGAACUUUAAUAAUAAUGUAAAAAUUAAAAUUAUUUUAGAUUAUUCAGGAAAUAAACAAAUUUUAGAAAUGCGAUUGAAUAAAGUUAAUGUUAUACAAACUACUUUUGAUAACAAUAAAACAACUUUAAUGGCAAUGGAACAUUUUAUUGAAAACUUAAAGGAUACAAUUCCACAAAAAGCAAUUGAUAUGAUGUCGAGGGAUCAUACAAAUUUACAGUAAAAAUUUUAAAAAAAGAAGCUAGUUGAAGAUAUAAUUAGAUACACCUAAUUUCAUUAUAGAUUUGAACAAGAAAAGUUCCAGUCAUUGUUAAAUGAUUUAUUAGAUGGUUUACAAAGUAGAAUAGUUCAAUGGGUAGAGUUUGAAAAUUUAAUUCAUCAGUUAGCUUCAUGGCAUAAUGAUACAGAAAAAAAGUUACAAAACUAUUCAGAGAAGGGUACACUUGAAGAAAAAACACAACAAUAUAAUAAAUUUCAGGUAUAAAUUUUAUAUUUAAUUCACACAAAAGAGAAAUACUAGGUUUUAUCUACACUCACACUCAUCAUUAGUGUUAUCUUAAUAUAAAUAUAUAGAUAUUAUGUUUUUAUAUGAUUUAUUAUUAUUACUUAUAAUAAUAUAUAAUUAACAGUGGGUGUAACAUAUGGUGGAUAUUGGUGUUAAAACAUCCCAAAUAUCAGAAAAAUAAACAACUAAUAAUAAAAAUUCCAUUGAUUUAAAAUGUAUUUUAAGUUAUUAACGUAAGAAAUUCUAAUGAGAUCCUUUAUUUUUUCUGAGUCAUAGUUUUGUAUUGUGUCAGUGUUACAAUAUGUAAUUAAAAUAAUAACAAUGAAAUUAAAAUACAAAUGAAUAAUUUAUUAAAUUAAUAGGUAUAAUAAUUUUGUAAAUUAAUAUUAUUAUAGUAUUAUAAAAUUUAGUUUUGAAUUUAAUUUAGGAUUUAGAAAAAGAAAUUAAAGGAAAAUUGAACGCAGUGAAGGAUUUAAUUGCAUAUGGUGAUCAUCUUCAACAAGUAAGAUUUAUUCAAAGAAAAUGAAUAUUGCAUGCACCGUGUUAUUAAUUUUUUUAAUAAGCCAAGUAUAAUUUGACACAAAAAUAUUGUCAAAUAAAACAAAUUAUAUAAUUUCACUUUAAUUUAUAAAUUGUAUAUAAUUGUUUAUAAAAAAAUACUUUUAAGAUUAUUUUAAAUUUAAAAUAUUGAUUAAUGUUAAUUUGUUACUAUGUUAUAGUCAUUAUUGGAUGACAUGAAAAAGAAAGAUUUAAAUGUUGAUAAACUUAUUGAUCAAGCUAAUGAACAAGAGGCAACAGGUGAAGCACGAUUAUCAACCAGAGUCAAACAGAUAUCAUCUCGUUAUCAAUCGAUGCAAACUACCAUUAAAGUAAAAAUAAAUAAUGUUUUAAAUUAGUUAAAAUUAAUUUGUUUUAUAUUAUUUCAGGACAUUUUAAAUAAAUGCCAUGAAUCGAUUAAAAUUCAUCAAGAAUAUAUAGACAAGUAUAAUGAAUGUUCUAUUCAAUUUUCAAACAUUCAAAGUCAAUUUAAAAAUGUCAAUGAACCUCCAUUAUCCUCACAAGCUAUACAUCAAUAUUUAAUUCAGAAAAAUGGAAAAUUAAAUGAAUUGUUAGAUACAAAACCAAAUGUUACAUCUUUGUUGAAUAAUUGUAUUGAAUUAGGAGAAAAAUUAUAUUUGAGUACAUCUAUAUCUGGAAGAGAUGACAUUAAACGUCAGUUAGAAGAACUUCAAAUCCUAUUUGAUACUUUAUAUGAUGAUCUUUUAAAUAUUAAUAGAGAUGUUAAAGAUCAAUUAACUAAAUGGAGUGGAUUUGAAGAGCUAUAUAAUGAAUUAAAUAAAUGGUUCAACAGCACUAAACAAAUAUUAAAUAAAGAUUUAGUGCUUAAAUCUACUUUAGAUGAAAAAAAAAUGCAAUUACAAAUCUAUAGAGACAUGCUACAAGCUACAUUAAAAAGGAAACAAGAUAUUGUGAAAUUACAUGAUCUUACUGACAGAAUGCAAAUGCGAGAAAAUAAUGAUAUUCUUAUAUCUUCUAUGAAUAAACAACAUGAUGACAUUUUAAAACUAAUUCAAGACUUUGUUGAUAAAUAUGAAGCAAUUGUAAAAGACCAUGAACAAUAUACUAAGUCUGUAAUGGAAAUGCAAGAAUGGCUUGACGCAACUCAUAAUACAAUAAUACUCUGGGGUGAUACAAAUUUAGAAAAAAUUUCUUUAUUGAGUAAUUUAGAUCGAAUUAAGGUAAAUAAGAAUUGAAGUUAUUGUCCAUUAUAAAUAUUUCAUACUUAUGAUUAAUUUUGUGUUUAUUAUGUAUAAUCAUAUUUUUCAGAAUUUAUUAUUAAGCCUUACAGAAGAAGAAAAUAGAAUUCAUAAUAUACAAAAACUAGCUGAAAAAGUUAUACCUGGUACAGUGGAAAAUGGACAAGUGAAUAUUAGGGCACAAAUUGACUCAUCACAACAAGAUUGGGAAGGACUUAUUACUACAGUAAAGUAAGAACACAGAUAUAUAAAUAUGUGUAAUGAGUAUGCUCUUUCUUAUAUGUUUUUUAGAAUAUUUUAGUAAUAAUAAUGUAGUUUUAAUUGUACAAAAUAAAAUUGGAACAUUAUUUUUUUUAAUAAAUAUAACUAUAUAGUAUAUAUUAUCUUUAUUAUUCUAUGAAAAAAAUAAAUUAUAUGUUUAGAUCAUCAAUAGAAGCUUUAGAAAAUAAACUUAAUAGUUGGAAUGAAUUUGAUACACUUAAGGAAUCAUGUUUAAUAUGGUUACGAGAAACUGAUUAUAAAAUACAUGCUAUUGAUUUGAAAAACUCAUUACAAGAAAAGAAAACUCAGCUUGAAGAACUUAAGGUUGUUUUAAUAAUUAUAUAAUUUAAAUAUACAAUUUAUAUUAUUAUAUUUUAAUUAUUAUUUAUAAUAAAUAACUAUAUAUAUAUUAAUUAUAGGAUUUACAAGGAGUAAUUCGAGCUAAAGAAUUUGAGAUUGAUUCAAUUACUGAAAAAUCACAAAAUCUGUAUACAAUGUCUAUGUCAAGUAAAAAUUCUCAGAUUACAGAAAUUGUUCAAAAAUUUCAUCAGCUUUCAAUGAAAAUAAAAGUAUUUGUGUUAAUUAUUAUUAAUUUUUAAAUUAUAAUUUAUUGGUUUUUUUUUUUAUAAUUUCAAGGAAUUGGUUGGGAAAUGGCAACAAUUUGUUAACAACCACUUAGAAUUUGAAAGUAGUCUAAGUGAAGCUAUUAUUUGGUUGGAUACUGUUGACGAUAAACUCACAAGUUGUACAGAUUUUAAAUCCACUAGUAAAGCUGAUUUAGAAGAAAAACUCAUUGUCAUCCAAGUAAAUAUAAAAAACUAAUAUUAAUAUAGUUAAAGUAUACAUUUAACUACAUCUAGAACAAUGAUUUAUUUAUUAUAAUUUUGAAGUAUUCAAAUAAAUUUAAAACAUUAGUUUUAAUUCUAUAUAAUAGUUAUUACAGUUAAAAUCUCUAUUAAUGGACACCUCUCAAUAAUGAAUCCUUCCUAAUAGUGAACACUUUUAAAUUCCCCUGCAUAAAUGUAUAUAAUAAGAGUUAUAACCUCUUAAUAGUGGAUGUGGACACUUAGAACUGGUACCAAAAUUAAAAAUUACCUCUUAUAAAUGGACACAAUACAUGUACAUACCGAAAAUGUUUAAGUAAUAAAAAUAUCAUACAUAUUUAUUUUUAUAAAUUUUGUUUAUAUUUUAUGUUAUCUUAAGAGAACGUUAUCUUGCAUUUACUGUUUCAGUGCAACUACCAAGUAACAUACAAAAACAAUGCUUAUGCGGAAUAGGUAAAAACAAGCUUAAUUUUGAUUUUAGAGUAAAAGUACCUAUUAUUAUGAAAUUUAUAAAGAAUAAUAUUUUAGAGAGAAUGUCAUAGAUGUUUUUUGAAUUGUGAAAUAUUAAAAAAUAAAAAAUAAUAAAGGUUUUUGUAUCUUUUAUAUCGAGCUUUAUAUUUUGAAUAAUACAAAAUCCCUAUGAAAUUCCUUCCAAAUAUUGUUCUCUAUAAAUUUAAUUAUACAUACUUUUACUCUAAAAUCAAAAUUAAACUAGUUUUGCUUAUUCUGUGUAAUCAUUGUUUUUGCAUGUUACCUACCCGGUAGUUGAACUGAAAUAGUAUAUGUGAGUAUAACGUUCUCUUAAUGGUUUUCCUAUUCGAUAAAUGACAAAUGGUUUGGUUAUGUGUUCGGUCAUCAGUUGUGUACUAAAAACAUGUACACAAAAAAAGAUUACAGAUUUUUUUUAAUUGUGCAUAAACAUAUAUCAUUUUUAUAUCCACUUUUUAAUACAUGUACCUUCAUAUAUAUAUAUAUAUUUAUUAUGUAUAUAAUAAAUAAUAAAUACAAAUUAAAUUUAAUAUUAAUCAUAUUAUAUCAAUUAAUUAAUAUAUUUCAGUAUAAUAAUAAUACAUUUUUUAUAAAUUAUAAUAAAUAAUACCAAUUUUAAUGUACAUGUAUAUGUAUAGCUAAUUCUCUAUAGCGCCUUCCUAUAAUGAACGUUUUGUAAUUUCUCGUAAAUAUUCACAAUAUAGACUUUUCAUUGUAUAACAUUAAGUAAGAAAACAUAAAAGAUUAAAAAUGUUUUUUCUCAAAACAUUAAAUUUCUUAUGGAUUCUCACUCAAACACAAAAUAAUAUAUUUUAUUAUUGUGAAAAUUAAUUAUAGUAAUUUAUAUUUUAUAUUUUUUAGGAUAUUUUGUUGUACAAAGAUGAUGGUUUUAGUAAAGUGCAAAAUUGUAUUGAAAUAGGCCAGUUAGUUUUAGCGAACACUGCACCUGAAGGACACAAAUCAAUAAAUGAAUCACUUAUAUCUUUACAAGAACAUUGGAGUAGUUUGGCAACAAAGAUGGUUGAAACCAAGGUAAAUACAUAAUAAUAUAUUAUAAUUAGUCAAAAAAUAACAUUUUUGAUUCAUUAAAUUAUAGACGAAUAUUGAUGAAUCGAUUCAACGGUGGUCAGGAUUUUUAGAACAUGUAAAGCAAGUUGGACAAAUAAUAGAUAAAUUUGAAGAAGCAUUACCUGAGUUAGAAGAAUUACAAGGAACUAUGGCUGAAAAAAGGGACCAAUUAGAGAAAUUAAAAGUACAUAUAAUUUUUAUAAAUAAAUAAUAUAAUUUUUAGUACCAUUUAGAGCUAAAUAUAUAUUUAAUUCCAAAUAAGUUAAGAAAUUAUUGGUAAAGUACUGAUGUAUUUCAAAAUGUAUAUUUUAAUCAAUUGAUAAAAUUCUAAUUUUGUUUCUUUUUUCUAUAUAGAACUCUUAAAUUAAAUCUAUUCAAAAUUAUUUAUACUAAAGUGAACUGUAGAUCCUGGUAAAAAUGUAUCUUUAUUUUGGAUUUAAUGAAAAAAUGAGUUCAUAUAAAUUAUAUAUAAUUAAUUUAAUAAUGUUAUAAAUUAAUAAUAAUUGUUAUAAAAAAAGUUAAAAAAGCUAAGGGGGGUAUGCCACUGUUGUUGGUAGGAAGUUGGGAAGAUAGGAUACAUAAAUUUAUUUAAUUUAUAUCUAUAAGGAACAAUAAACUGUUAUUAACGAUAAACAAUACGGAGAGAAGUUUGGUUAUACAUGUUUUGAAAGGCCAUAAUAUUUACAAUUUAAUAUAAAUUACACUCAAUUUUUUUUCCCACUAAGUACAACUUAAAAUGAGAAUCCUGUUAAAUCAUUAAGUAUUUUUGUUUAGUUUAAAAAUUUUAUCCACAUUUGUAGGUUUCUACAAAAUAAAAAUUAGGUUCAAAACUAGUUCAAAUGUUUUUAAAAAUGUAUAGAACAAAGUUCUGGUAGGUUUAGUUAGAGAAAAGGAAGUGUGAUGGGCUGUAGAAGCAAUGAAAAAGAAAAACAUUAAGUCCAAAUAGAGUACCAGUGGAAGUGUGGAAAAUGUUAGGGGAGUUCAGCACAAUAUGCUGGUUAAAAGAUUUGUUUUAAUUAUGUUCUACUAGAAGGAAAAAUACUAGAUGAAUGGAGAGUUUCGUAGUACUUAUAUUUAAUGGGAUAAAAAAGUUAUAAAAAGUAUGAAAAUUAUAAAGAAAUAAAGUUGUUGAAUCAUAGUAUGAAGAUUUGUGAAAGUUUAUAAAAAAAGUGAAUAAAAAGUGAAAUUAUAUAUGGCUUAUAGAUUUAGAGAAGGCAUAUGGCAUUGUACUGACAGUUUUUCUGAUAAUAGAUAAAGUAGUAGGUAGGUACUAGUUUUUACAAAAAAAUAUUAUUAUAAAUAUAGUAAGUUUAUGACAUUUUUAAUUUGCAUUUUCUUAUAUAAAAAUUAUAAGCAUUUGAUUGUUUUUUUUAGCAUUUGGAUGAAAAAGUUCGUUGUGAAAAGUUGGAAAUGGAUUCUUUGAAAUUAAAAGCACACGAGAUGCUAAAAACAGGCCAUCAAAGCAAUGCUGUUGCAGGAACACAAGAAGUAUUUGAUAAGUUUGACAGAAUUUCAGAUAAAGUGAAGGUAAAUUUAUUAUAUGUAGAUAAUUAUUCAAUUUUUUAGUUUUGUGUUUUAAUCAAUUAAAUUUAAUUUUAGAAAUUACUCAACCAACGUGAACAACAAUAUAAAGAUCAUAAAACAUAUAAGGAAGCAUAUGAAGAAUUAUCUAAUUUCUUAAACAGAUCUCGAGACAAAAUACCAUCAUUAAAAGAACGACCACUUAGUGAUAAAUUAGCUAUUGAAAAUGCCAUAAUGCCAUUAGAGGCUCUUUUGAAUAAGAGAGCUCAAGGUGAAUUACUUUUAGAUAAUUUAAAUACAAUUGGAGACAUUAUAACAGCAAGUACUUCUGAAACUGGAGAGAAAAUUAUCAAACAAGAAAUUUCUAUUAUAACUGAAGAAUUAAAAAAAUUAUUUGACGGUAUAUUAAACAAUUAGAUGUAUUAUAUUAUUAUUACUUAGGUAGGUACUGAUUUUUAUUUUUUCCAUUUAGAUAUAUUAUCUCAAAAAGAUAAUCUCCAUGCUAUUCAUACACAUUGGAGAGAGUAUAAAGAUGAGUAUGAAAAGCUUUCUGAUUGGUUGCAACAAAUUGAUAUAUCAAUGAAAGCUAUUAAAAAUACCCCAUUAGCGACUGUAGUGGAAAAAACAGAUCAAGUAGAACAAAUUCAGGUGAACUCCUUUAUAUGUUCCAUAAACUAUUAAUAAAAGGAUAACACAUAUUUUUAAACAAUGUUAAUAUUAAACAUUAGCCAUUAUUUUAUAAUUACUUUAUAACUGUAUAUUUUAAAUAGUAUAAUAUAUUUACCUGUGAUAUAGUUAUCAACAAUUUAAACACAAAAUUGAUCAAUUGUUGAAUUUAUAUUUGAUUAAAAAAAGUUAAAUUUUUUUUUAUUAUUAUUAUUUGUUUAAAAUUUAUAUUUCAUGUUUUUUUAAAAAAAUUUCUAUUCUAAUAUACAAGGUGUCUCACGAUUUAACAAAUGUAAUAACUUUUGUUUUAUUCAAUAUUUUUGCAAUACAUUUUUUUUAAAUAACAAUUAUGUCUCAGCGCUAUGGUUUAUACAUGUAAUUUUUUAUUUUUAGGGAAAAGAGGAAUUAAAAUAAAAAUUUAAAAUUUAAUUUAAAUUUUUUUAAAAAAAUUAAAAAUAGUAAUUUUGUAAAAUAGAUUUUUAGACAAUUUUUUGUGGUUAAAACUUUUGUUAAAAUAUGAUCUUUUAUUUUCUAAAAGUUUUGAAAAUUUGAAUAAUUUUCAUUUCAAUCAUAAUAAUAUUGUUUAUCAACAUAAUUUACCAUUAUUGAUUGAUUUAAACUAUUUAAUAACUAUAAUAUGAUAAUAUUAUUGCAUGAUAUUAUAUCAUGGAAAAGAAAAUCCUUGUAAUAUUGUAAUAUUCACAUUUGCAAAAACUUCAAAAAAUCGUAGAAAAUAAAAGAUCAUACUUUAACAAAAAUGUCAACCACUAAAACAAUUCUAAAUAUCUAUUUUACAAAAUGUUUAUUUUUUAUUUUUUAUUUUAAGUCUCCCUACCGCUAAAAAAAAAAAAUAUUCAUACAUAAACUGUAGUGCUGAGGCAUACUAAUUAUUUAAAAAAAAUAUAUAUCAAAAAUAUUGAAUUGAACAAAAAUUAUUGUAUUUGUCAAAUUCUUGUGGAACACUUUGUAUGUGUAGAUUUUGCACUGAUAGGAGAAAAACCUUAAUUGGUUUUCAGAAUUUUGACAUUAGUAUCAAAGCAUCUAAUUAAUCAGCUUUAAAUUUAAACAAAAUAAAAAUACCUAAAUCACUACCUAUAGAUAUUUAAUACCUAUGAUAUUUAUUUUUUUAGGAAGUGAUAAACAAUUUAGAAAAAGGUAAAUCUAAUAUUGAUAAAUUUAAUGAAAGUGCAGAUCCACUUUUAAAAUCACAUCUUGAAACUUAUGUUAAUAAUCAGUUAAGACAUCUUAACUCUCGAUAUGAAGUAAGGUUAAAUAUUUAAAAAUAUUUUCCAAUUGUAACAAUACUAAUGAAAUAUUUCAGGUACAAGUAAAUUUAGCAAAAGAUGUACAAAGAAAAGUAGAAACUAACCUUGAACACCAUUUACAAUAUGCCAAUUAUUUAGAAAAAGCUAAAACAUGGAUAAAUAAUGCAAAAGAAGCAAUUAGGUGUGGAAAUGAAACAACAGCUAAUACUAGUAAAGAAGUUUUACAAGCUCGUCUUGAUAAAAUUUUGGUAAAAGUCAAAUUUAUUUUGUAUGUAUUAAAAUAUAUUAUAUUUGAAUAGUUACUUUUUUUUAGGAAUUACUAAAAUCACAAGAAGAAGGUCAGCUAAUUAUUCAUUCCACUGUAAAUUCUGGUGAAAAAGUUCUUAGGAGUACUAGAUCUGAUGGAAAAGACUUAAUUAACAAUCAAUUAAAAGAAAUUCAAACAGAUUGGGAUAGGCUUGUAAAAAAAAUAGCUACAUCUAAAGUUCAUAUUGAAACAAGUCUUCUACAAUGGGCCGAUUACAAUUCAUCAUAUUCACAUCUAGAACAAUGGAUCUCAGAUCGCGAAGCUAAACUGGAAGAAGUUUGUGAACUUAAAGUAAAAAGACAUUUAUUCAUUAUAAUAUUUUUAUACAUAAUAAAAGUAUAGUACAAUUCUUAAAUAUGAAUAAAAUCAGAAGAUAUUAAAUUAUAUACGUUGCUUUUUUACUAUUAACAUUAAAAGAAAUUAUUUUGUUUGUGUUCAUAGGUAGUUAAUACUUAAAUUUUAAAUAUUAUUAAAAUCAAUUUUAUACAUUUUUAAAAUAUAUUUUCAAUUAGGUAACAAAAGCAAAAAAAAAUCAAACCGGAAUUGGAUCAUUGAGUAUUGGAGAACGAAAAGCAACACUACGUAGAACAAAUAGUAUUGUUCAAGAUAUUGUUUCAUUUGAACCUAUGAUUCAAAAAGUAACACUUAAGGCAGAAGACUUACAACAAGGUGUACCUGCAAAUGAAAUAACUAACAAAUAUCAUACAUUGAGUAUUAAAGCUAAAGGUCUUUAUGAAAAGCAAAAAGAAACAGUAAGAUUACAUCAAGAAUUCAUUGAUGCUGGAAAUGAUUUUGCUAUUUGGCUAAGGUCAUCUAAAGAACGUGUUAGCAAAAUAUCUGAACCAACAGGAGAUAAAGAAAUGUUGAGUGCUAAAUCUGUUCAAUUUAAGGUACCUACUCGAUAUUACAAUCUUGUUUAAAUAUUAAAAUUAUUUAUGAUUUUAUUAUUGUUCUAGGUAUUACAGAGUGAAUUACCCGAAGGACAAAAAAAAUUAGAGAUUGCUCUCGAAAGAGCAGAAAAAGCAUGUUCAUUCGCCGAUGAAGAAGAAAAAGAAAUUAUUGAACAGGAAGUAGUUAUGCUACAAGAAGAAUUUGAUAUACAUAAUGACAUACUUCAAAAAACUAAAACAUUGUUAGAAGUAAAUACAAUUUAUUAUUAGAAAUGUUACUUGUUUAUUUAAAUAUAUAUUGAUCUAUACAUAUUAUCUAUUAAUAUUUAUCUAUAUGUAUUUUUAACUUUAGGAUGGCAUUUACAAAUGGAAUGAUUUUGAUGAUUAUUCUAAAGGUGCCACAGAGUGGUUAAAUAAUACUGAGCUACUUGUACAAUCAUAUAAUAAACUACAGCCAAGUCUAGAUGGGAAAAAGGAAGCACUAGAAGAAUUUCAAACUCAAUUACAAAUGCUAUUUGACUGGCAGAAAGAAUUGGAUAUUUUAAAUGGAAAAGCACAGGUAUUCAAUUGAAAUAGUUAUUUUAAAAUAUUAUUCCUCCUUAUUAUAUUAAUAUUAAAUGUUUUUAAAUUUAGGUUCUUUUGGAAACAUGUUCUGAUACACGUUUAUCAAAUUCAAUAACCCAAAUGACAACUAAAUACAAUACAUUACUAUCCUUAGCUAAAGAAGUUAUGCGACGUUUAGAAUUACAUUAUCAAGAGCAUCAACAACAUAAUUCAUUAUACCAGGAAUGUCUAGAUUGGCUUGAAAGAACUCGAGAUAAGGUAUUUUUACUAAUAAAAAUGCACAUACAAAUUAUUAAUAAAAAAUGUUUGUUUUAAGUUAAAUGAAUGUGAAGAAAUACCAAACAGGUUAAAUGAAGUUAAAAAUAAACUUCAGAGCUUAAAGGUUAUUAGGCAAACACUUGAACAAGGUCAAAAUCGUUUAAGAUACAUAAUGGAAUUAAAAGAAAAAGUUGUACUUAACACUGAAUCUCAAGGUACUGUUAAAAUUGAAGAAGACACUGAAAAUUUAAGACAAGAAUUUGACAAACUUUCAAAUAAAAUCCAAGUAAGUAAUGAUUAAUGUUAUGUACUUAAUAAGAAUCUAAAAUGUAUAUAACUGUCAACUGUCUUUUGUAAAAGGCGUGUAACAAUAAUUUAACUUUGAGAGUAACACAACUUGAAGAAUUAGAGAAAUGUAUAAAAAUAUUAAAUGAAUGCUUGGACGAUAUAAGUUCUAAAACUAAUGGAAAUGAUCUUGAUCAACCAUUAAAUGAUUUAAGUGAAAAGAAAACAGCGUUUGAGAAAUUUAAAUCCUUACUUCGUGAACUUAAUACCCACAAUGAUUUAGUAUGUAUAAAACCAUAAACUGAAAUUUAAAACUUUAUUGACAUUUUUUAUAUAACUUAUAUUACCUAUAAAUAGGUUAAUCGCUUAUCAACCAAUAUGAAUAAUGAAUCUUCAACUCAAGAAUCAGUUACUUGUAUAUCUAGAUAUAACAAUCUUAUUACUGUGGUAAGAUAAAUUCAAAUGUUUAUUCAACAAUACAAAAACAAAAUAAAUCCAAUUAUAUAUUCUUGUAAUUUUAGAUAAACAAAAAAUUAUCUGCUAUGGAAAGUCAAGUAACGGAACAUGAAGCUUAUAGAAAUGCAUUGAUAAACAUAAAUGAUUGGUUACGAAAAACUCGAGUUUCAGUUCAAAGUUGUGCAGAUACGCAUGGUGAUUGUAAAGUUAAUGCUUCUAAAAUUAUCCAGCUAAAAGAUAUUGAAGAAUCUUCCCAGAACGGUGAAGGAAUGAUUAAAGAUAUUUUAGCACAAAUUGAAGUGCUUAAAAAUACUACUGGACCAGAAGGUUGUGAUAAAUUGAACCAAGAUAAAAAUCAAUUGAACUGUGACUGGGACGAGCUAAAGCAUUUUAUUAAGGAAGUGCAAUCGUCAUUAAAUAAAUGCGCAAAGGCAUGGGAAGACUUCAAUGUAGUAUACAAAGCAUUAAAAGACUGGGAAACAGAUCUAUCAAAUAAAGUCAACACAGCUGCUUCGUCUAACGAAACAUACACUCCAGAUGAUUUAGACCAGUACAAGCUUUGGCUACAAGAAAUUAUAAACCAAAAUGUAUCCAUUGAAGAACUUACUGACCGUUGUGAGUUAUUAAUGGAAUUAAGUGCAUGCAAUUGGGUUAGGGAUGACACACUUAAAAUACAAUCAUCAUAUACAACAUUAUUAACUACAACUCAAGGGUUAGUAUUUUAUUUCUUAAGAAUUUUAAUUAGAUCAAAUUGUUUUAUUAUCUAUACAUUUUAUAUUUUUAUAAUUCAUUAGACUUGUAUCAAAAGCAGAAAAAAGCUUGACUGAUCAUACUGAAUUUAUUGCUGCAAAAGAAAAAGUUGAAGAAUGGUUAAAUCGCGCUCAUGGUACAGUUCAAGAUUGUAUAGGCGAAGGUGAUUUAGGUUGGGUGAAGGAUAAAUUACAAACAGUAAACCUUGUUUCUUCCAGAAUAACCGAAGGUACCUAAUAAUAAGUUAUUAAAUAUUUUACAAUAACUAUUUUUUUUUUCUAUUUUUACAAUCGAAAAAAUUGUGCUAUACUAAAAUUUAACAACAAUAUUCUUUUAAUUUUAGGCCAAUAUUUAAUGAAUGGAAUGCAAGAAGUAUUUACUAAAGCAUUAAAUAACACAUUAGCUAUGGAAAGAGAUGGUUUAGUAAAUACUAUGGAAGAACUCCGUAAUAGCUGGAAUAGUUUAAACAUUAAUUUAAAUUCGGUUAUUGCACAUCUGAAAUCUCUUCAAGCUCGUUGGGAAGAAAAUAACGAAGCCAAAGAUAAUCUUGAAAAAUGGUUAAGUUCAUUGGAAUCUAAAAUAAAUGAAAAACAUGAUUUUAUAGCAGAUGUUGGUGAAAUGAAAACAUUGCUUGAAAGAUUAAAUCAUACAAUAAACGUGAUCGAUGAAAAAGAAACAGAUUUCAAUCACAUUAUCACAGAAACUGAAGAACUCUCAAAAUUUUGUAAAAAUAAUCAUUUGAAUUCUGAUAUCAAACAAUUAAAAACUAGGAAAAAUAUUCUUAAAGAAAAAACAUUGAAACAUAAAGAUAACUUAGAAAAUGAAAUUUUACAGCACUCUAAUUAUUUACUAGCACUUCAAGAAUCUGAAAAAUGGUUAUUGCAAAUAUCAUUUCAGUUGAUGGCUCAUAACUCAUUAUAUAUUACUAACAGACAACAAACUCAAGAACAAUUAAAACAUCAUCAAGUUUUAUUAAAUGAAAUAAUUCAGUAAUAAUUAUUUGUUUUAAAUAUAUAAGACUGUUAUUACUAAAUAAUAUUUGUUUGCUUAUAGGUAUCAAGAAGUAUUAGAUGAUUUAAAAUCUAAGGGAAAAACUCAAAUAAAUCGCUAUAUUGCAUCUACUCCAUCAAUUCAGUCAGUAGUGGAACGACAAUUGAAUAAUAUUCAAGAUAGUUAUAAUUCAUUGUAUAAUACUGCUCAACAAAUAAAAGCUAGACUAGAAGAAUCUCUAUUAAAAUUUAAACAAUAUGAAGACAUGUUAGAAAGUAUUUGGUCAAAUUUAGAUGGUUAUCAGCCACUUGUAAAUAAAACUAUAAAUGAAAAUUGGUCUCUUGAAGAAACCAAAGAGCAAUUAACACUUUACCGGGUAAGAAUAUAUUUUUACAAUAUUAUUAUAAUUAUAAGUAUAUACCUGCAUCUGUUUUUUUUUUUAUAUAAUAUAAAUUUUGAUUAUUGAGGUACUAAAAAUAUAACAUUAUUUUACUUUUCUAAUGUGUAUCACCUAUUGUAAUUAUCUAAAUAAUCAAAUUAAUAAUAUGAAAUAAAAUAAACUACACUGUUUGCCUAGAAAUUAUUAAACAUUGUAUUGUUUUCAAUAACUUGUCAAAAUAAUAUUGUUACAGUUAUUUUGUCUGAUUUUUAUUUAAAAAAAGUUAGGAAAGUAAAAUACAUAAAGGUAUAAAAAAAAAAAAAAUCAACAGUGAAAUAAUACAGUCCUCGCUGUGGUCUGGUUAUAACCUAAAAAAAAAAGAAUAAUAUAAAAUUUAAUAAAUAUUGUUACUAUAUUUUGUCUGUUUACUUUCUCCCUCAAAAGCAUUGAUAACAUCAUAAUACAAUGGCCUGUACCACUAAUUAUAAUUUUCCCCAAAAUUCUAAAAAUAUUCAUUAAACAAACUAUUUAAUAAUAUUUCUUUUAAACUAAUAAAUUAAAUGUAUUCUUAUAGGAUCUUCUGAAUAAAUUACAAAGUGAAAAAACUAGGUUGGCCUUAGCUGUACAAGCUUGUGAAGCAGCAGUGGCCAGUAUUUCUAGGCCUAGUAGUCCUGUAGAAUCAAAUAAUUCUCAGAUUCCCGAACAAGAAAUUGCUAUUAGAUUGCGCUUAGAAGAAUAUCUUGAUCAGGUAAGUUGUAAUGGUUUGAUAUAAUGUCGAUCAUAAGUAUUCUUUUACAUAUUAAUACUUUUUAAGUUAUUUGUUAUUAAUAUUAUAGUAAUUUGUAUUGUUAAUAAAUAAUUGUUUUUUUUUUUUUAUUUCACCUAUUUGUUUAUGUAUCUCUUAUUUAAUAAUGCUAAUGUUUUGUAGUUAAUUAUAACAAAGUAGUGUUGUUUUUAUGUUGUGUGCUAUAUAGAAAAAUAAACUAGUACCAAAAGCAUUUAAAUCAUUGCUACCAAUGCUUGAACACUUAGAAGACACAGGCAUACCUAAAAUUUUAUUUACAUUUACUGGACAUGUAAGUAAUUUUUUAAUUUUUAUCAAUACUAGAAACAAUAAUUUUUAUUUCCAGUAGGCCAUUUUAGAUAGGUUUAUAAUAAAGAUGCUUAGUAUUGCGUUAAUUUGUGUUUUUUUUUAAAUUUUUUUUUAACAAAUUUAAUAGAAUCUAAAAAUGUUUAAAAUAAAUAUAAAACCACCACUAAUUAUUACACUCAUAGGCCACUAUGAGACACUAUGGAUACUAUUUCUAAAUAAAGAAACAAUAUUAAUUUUAUUUCUUUAGGUACAAAACUUGGUAGAUGAGUUGGUUAAUAUGACAUCAGUUUUGGAAAAUAAACAAAACCAGCGCUCUAGAAUUUAUGAAUGGAUUGAAGAAGAAUUGGCUAUUUUGAAUAAAAUGAAGGAAAAACUAACUAGGAUUAAUGUAGAAACAACUGCUCAAGAAAUUAAUAAUUUAAAUGAAAUGUUACAAAAUAUUAGUGAAAAACAAAUCGAAAUAUCCGAAAUAGUAUCAGAUAAUUCAUCUGAUAAACUUUAUAAUGAUUUAAACAAUUUGACAAAUAUGGUAAAUCAAUCAAUUACAAUUUGUUUAAAUUAAUAUAUUUCUUUAUAAUAUUAAUAUUAAAUAUCAUUAUUAUAUAGUUUAUAUUAAUUUAACUUAUGAAUUAAUAUAAAUAUAUUAAAUAUAUAGUAUUAUUAUAAUAUAUGUAUAAUAAAACUAUGUAAUACAAUAAUGCAUUACACAGUGAAGUAUUAGUAUUUAAUAUUUGAAUAUUAUAGUAAAAUCAUAAAUUUGUAAAUUAAAAUGUAUAUUAUGUAUAUGAGGUCUUAUGAGAAUUAAUUUAUAAUUUCCCCUGUUUUUUAUAGACAAGUGAAAUACUUUUGAAAAAACAAUCUGAUCAAAAAUUAUUAUUAGAUUUUAAAAAUAGCGAAACAGAUUUACAAAAUUGGUUUGAUAAUUUAUCAAAAUGUAUUGAAUCCUUGGAAAAAGGUAGUGGAUAUACUUGUCAACAAAAAUUAGAACUAUUUAAUGAACUUAAAGAAAACUAUGUUAAUAAUGGAGAAAAACUUGUCAAUAGUUUAAGAACUAACUCUCAAAAUUUAAAAGUAGUAGUCAGUAUAGUAGAUGCUCAACUACUUGAAGAUCAGGUAGCCUGCUUAUUUAUUUAUAAUUUGUAUUGUAUUUUGUUAUUGAUCAGGGCCGGAUUUGACGGGGGGGCAUUAAGGGUAUAUGCUCCGGGCGCCCAAAUUUUAGGGGCCCCAACACUCAAAUCAAAAAAAAUAAAAAAAUUGCAAUUUGGGUUCUCAAACUAUAUUUAAAAAAAAAUAUAGUUUUGAAAAUAAAAAUUAUUAGGUAUAAAAUAUAAAUUAAAUUGUAUUACAAUAUACUACAGUCGUUAUUAUUGCAUUAUCACGGUGACAUAAAGUUGCGAAUUGAAUAAUUACAUGUGUAUGUUUAUAAAAAUCAUAAUGUAAUCUAUCACAAAUCACAAUGUAAAAUGUUGGAAAAUUCAAGACGUCAUAAUCAUUAUCGGCUUAUCGUUGUUUAUAGCUUUUAUGCCUUUAUUGUGAAUUAUUUAUUAUUUUGUACAUUCCACUUUUCGACUAAAUCUCGUUAUUUCAUUAUAAUCAGCCAAGAAUACUCAUGGGCCUGUACUGUAUAUAUUUUUAUUAAUAAAAUAAAUAAUAUAUUACUGUAUGACUUGUUCAAUUUAUUUAACAUAAAUAGUUAUUUUUAGUUCUAACUAUAAAUAUAUUUUACGCAUGGUAUAAGUUUAGGUAGGUAUGCAAUUUUUGUUAUGGACCAUUUAGGGCCCCAAAAUAUUUUUGCCCUGGGCCCCCUAAUGUUUAAAUUCGGCCCUGUUAUUGAUACAAUAUUUAUUGAAAUUUAUUAUACCUAUAUUUUAAAAAUUAUUAACUACAGAAUUGAAAUUAAAUUACCUAACUUAUUUUGAUUACAGAUGAAAUCGGCUGAUCGACGGUAUAGAGAUUUUUGGACAAGAAUGGAAAGAAAAUAUGAAAUUUUAGAAAAUUCAAAAACUAAUCUACUUUACGUUAGAUCUAAAAUAGAAGAAAUUGCAGAUUGGAUAAAUAAAAAAACAGAUAACUUAAAUGAAAAUAAAAUAAUAAGUUAUGAGAGUAACAUAAUUGAAAAAAAUUUGAUUGAUUUGAAAAACAUGAACAAAAAAGCAAAAACAAACAAAAUUUUCUUAACCGAUUCUCUAGCAGUCAAACUUAAUGCAAUAGAGCUUGAAUCAGAACCAAUUGAAUUCAAUGACCUUGAAGAAAAAUUGUAUAAACCCACAGUUAACAAAUUAGACAAUUUAAUAACAAGUAAUUAUAAAUAUUUUUAAUAUUAUUUUAAAAAUAAUAAUAAAUUUUAUAUUUUUGAAUAUUUUUGUUCUAGGAAUAAAUGAAAACUUAUUUAAAACUAAAAACAUGCAUGAAGCCAGUCAAAAGUUUGAAAAUACACUUAAUGAGUGUAAUCUCUGGUUAGAUCGUAGUGAAAAAGAUCUUUCACCAGAUAAAUAUAAAGUUGAACCUUUAGAAUUGAUUCAAGCAGAGAAAAAUAUUGAAG